GAAGAGCAUCCUACGGGAGGCAGCAGUGGGGAAUAGUUGCACAAUGGGCGCAAGCCUGAUGCAGCCAUGCCGCGUGUAUGAAGAAGGCCUUCGGGUUGUAAAGUACUUUCAGCAGUGAGGAAGGUGGAUAUGUUAAUAGCAUAUUCAUUUGACGUUAGCUGCAGAAGAAGCACCGGCUAACUCCGUGCCAGCAGCCGCGGUAAUACGGAGGGUGCGAGCGUUAAUCGGAAUUACUGGGCGUAAAGCGCAUGCAGGUGGUUUGUUAAGUCAGAUGUGAAAGCCCGGGGCUCAACCUCGGAAUUGCAUUUGAAACUGGCAAACUAGAGUACUGUAGAGGGGGUAGAAUUUCAGGUGUAGCGGUGAAAUGCGUAGAGAUCUGAAGGAAUACCGGUGGCGAAGGCGGCCCCCUGGACAGAUACUGACACUCAGAUGCGAAAGCGUGGGGAGCAAACAGGAUUAGAUACCCUGGUAG
rnacentral:rRNA from 1 species